AAGACGGGAGAAGAGAAGAGAGUGGCUUCAUGGUCUCCUCACUCCUCCCCUCCCGUCUUGU
rnacentral:pre_miRNA from 1 species